CGUGGUUUGUUCUCUGAAAAUAACAGAUGCUUAAACUUUCAACAUUUUUAUUCAAAAAUCAACAAUUUGAUACAAAGAUUGGUUUUAGUUCAAAAUGAAUUUCUUUUCGCCUCCAUGCAUGUUGGACAUAAAGGUGGGUGUUCAACACAAUCUCGACAGCGGUAUGAGGUUUCGCGACGAAUUUUAUUCUUACUGCAUUGGCGGCAUCGCAAAAAAUGUGAUUUUCUGGUUGAAUUGUCUGGUGUGGGUAUUUUCUCCAAAUAAUGGGCUUUCGUUGAUGGCAAACACGUCAGGUCUUUUCCCUCGUAAACAUCGCUCGGUAGUUGAAUCAACGAUCGUAUGAGGCAGUCUCGGUAGUCAAGGAAGGAAGACUUCUUAUGAAACUGCUUGUGUAUGUAAAACGAGUUCCAUACCGAUAGAUCCAAUAAAUGAAAUAAAACUUUUUUGUACCAUCGGAUGGUUUUUCUCGGAGACGAAUAAUAUGAUACCAUCUG